CGUAGGAGGCGAGCGUUAUCCGGAUUCACUGGGCGUAAAGCGCGUGCAGGUGGCUUGGUAAGUUAGGCGUGAAAUCUCCCGGCUCAACUGGGAGAGGUCGUCUAAUACUACCGGGCUAGAGAGCAGAAGAGGAAGAUGGAAUUCCCGGUGUAGUGGUGAAAUGCGUAGAUAUCGGGAGGAACACCAGUGGCGAAGGCGAUCUUCUGGUCUGUUUCUGACACUCAGACGCGACAGCUAGGGUAGUAAACGGGAUUAGGGACCCCGGUAAUCCUAGCCGUAAACGAUGUGAACUUGGCGUUGGUGGGUUAAACUCCAUCAGUGCCGAAGCAAACGCGAUAAGUUCACCGCCUGGGGACUACGGCCGCAAGGUUA
rnacentral:rRNA from 1 species